UUUAUACUCCCUCCGUUUCAAAAUUCUUGUCUUAGAUUUAUUUAGAUAUGAAUGUAUCUAGUCAACUUUUAGUAUUUAGAUACAUCAAUUUUUAGACAAAGCUAAGACAAGAAUUAUGGAACGGAGGGAGUAUAAG
rnacentral:pre_miRNA from 1 species